GGUAGCAAUAGUUGUGGUAGUGAUGAAGGUCUCCGUGGUCACUGUUCUACUCGUCCUCCUGUCUGCUGUCUACGUCCAGACACGGGACUGCUCGAAAGAUGAAGGGGGUUUGUCUUGCGCGAUUAAAGG